rnacentral:rRNA from 1 species
UAGGGAAUCUUCGGCAAUGGGGGCAACCCUGACCGAGCAACGCCGCGUGAGUGAAGAAGGUUUUCGGAUCGUAAAGCUCUGUUGUAAGUCAAGAACGGGUGUGAGAGUGGAAAGUUCACACUGUGACGGUAGCUUACCAGAAAGGGACGGCUAACUACGUGCCAGCAGCCGCGGUAAUACGUAGGUCCCGAGCGUUGUCCGGAUUUAUUGGGCGUAAAGCGAGCGCAGGCGGUUUGAUAAGUCUGAAGUUAAAGGCUGUGGCUCAACCAUAGUUCGCUUUGGAAACUGUCAAACUUGAGUGCAGAAGGGGAGAGUGGAAUUCCAUGUGUAGCGGUGAAAUGCGUAGAUAUAUGGAGGAACACCGGUGGCGAAAAGCGGCUCUCUGGUCUGUAACUGACGCUGAGGCUCGAAAGCGUGGGGAGCGAACAGGAUUAGAUACCCUGGUAGUCCACGCCGUAAAACGAUGAGUGCUAGGUGUUGGAUCCUUUCCGGGAUUCAGUGCCGCAGCUAACGCAUUAAGCACUCCGCCUGGGGAGUACGACCGCAAGGUUGAAAC